rnacentral:rRNA from 1 species
GAUAAACGCUGGCGGCGUGCCUAACACAUGCAAGUCGAACGCACUCAGCAAUGAGUGAGUGGCGGACGGGUGAGUAACGCGUGGGCAACCUACCCUUUGGUGAGGAAUACCGGCGAGAAAUUGUCGACAAUACCGCAUAGCCUUCUUUCGAGAAGGAAAGCUCGCAAGAGCGCCAGAGGAUGGGCCUGCGUCUGAUUAGCUAGUUGGUGGGGUCAUAGCUCACCAAGGCGACGAUCAGUAGCUGGUCUGAGAGGACGAUCAGCCACACUGGGAUUGA